rnacentral:rRNA from 1 species
UACAGAGGGUGCGAGCGUUAAUCGGAAUUACUGGGCGUAAAGCGCGCGUAGGCGGUUUUGCAAGUCGGGUGUGAAAUCCCCAGGCUUAACCUGGGAACUGCAUUCGAGACUGCAUUACUAGAGUAUGGGAGAGGGAAGUGGAAUUCCCAGUGUAGAGGUGAAAUUCGUAGAUAUUGGGAAGAACACCGGUGGCGAAGGCGGCAACCUGGUCCUUGACUGACGCUGAGGCGCGAAAGCGUGGGGAGCAAACAGG